rnacentral:rRNA from 1 species
UACGGAGGGUGCAAGCGUUAUCCGGAUUCACUGGGUUUAAAGGGUGCGUAGGAGGGCAGGUAAGUCAGUGGUGAAAUCUCCGAGCUUAACUCGGAAACUGCCGUUGAUACUAUCUGUCUUGAAUACCGUGGAGGUGAGCGGAAUAUGUCAUGUAGCGGUGAAAUGCUUAGAUAUGACAUAGAACACCAAUUGCGAAGGCAGCUCACUACACGAGCAUUGACUCUGAGGCACGAAAGCGUGGGGAGCAAACAGG